rnacentral:tRNA from 1 species
GCGCCGGUAGCUCAGUUGGAUAGAGCAUCGGACUUCUAAUCCGACGGUCGGGGGUUCGAAUCCCUCCCGGCGCA